ACCCCUGGGGCAAAAGGUAAGAGGCUCCCAGCCCAUCCAUUCUAAGAACCAGCCUCCUCCCCCCACUAAAAAGAAACUCCCCAGUUUUGUUUUUCCUUUCUUUCUUUUUUCUCUUUCUUCCUUUUUCUUUUUUUUCAACCAGCUACUGUCAAAGUUUAAAUCUAAGCCCUUGGGGGAUGUCUCCCGGAUCUAAGCCUCCCCUGAAUUCUGAAUACAUUCCCAGAAUCCCAACCAUCCCCACCCCCACUCCCCAUCUUGAGGACUCGGGUCAGACAAAAUCACCUAUCUUCUUCCCAAUGGUUGUGUCUUUGGGGGUGCGGGAUGGGAGCUGCCUUUGCCUAGGCUGGGUCAGUGGUACCCUCCCGCAGCUCCACAACGUCUGGCUAAAAUGCAAACGCUGGUCGGGGAGCUGGAAGGUGAAGACACGAAGGGGUGGCCCUUGACUUGCUCCGGCACUCUGGGAGCAUUUCAAAAAAAAAAAAGAUAAACGCCUUUAUCCUCCCCCACAGUCUCCCUCCAAGCAAGGAGGCACCCACACACUACACUGAGCCACCUCGGGGCCCGGUUCACCCGUGAGUCAAGCCCAAGUUCUCUGGACAAACCGGAUUCCAGAGUGUCCUCGCCUGGGACCUGGAUACCUGUGUCCGAGGCUGAGCGGCACAGAUCGCAGCAGCUGGACCUCCUCUCUCACCCUCAGGAGCUACAGCUCCUCCAAAGCGGCCCUCCUGUCCCAGGCACGGGAACUCCUUCAGCAGAUGCACCCUCUGCGUAUAGUACUUUUUCUUGGCUUCUUUCCAGUGCGGUUCCUCCAGCACCUCAAAGAUCGCCGCCCCGAUGGCCAGGUAGAAGAUGAUGGCCGAGGCCCCAUCCUCACCCUUGGAUCAACAAUUUCCAUGGAGAUCAGAAGCUAUGCCCCUUGGUUGGGGGAAGGGCUUUGGAAAAUAAAAACUGCACUGAAACCAAUGACUGUCUAGACAACUUGAGCCUGAAGGAUAGAAAAGGGGAGUGUAGGGAAAUGGGCAAUGGGGGCAGGGCAGCAAAAUUAUUUUCUUACCCUGCUGGU